AUUCAUGUGUUACAUCUCUUCCCGAAUGACAACCACUUCCUAAACCAUGAAGCCAGUCCAUCAAAAGUUCCCCAAUGCAGAACCAGAAGAAAUAACAAUCUUACUUUUUUAUGCGUAAUAUCUCUUGUUCCGAUGAAAAGUGCUUCUUCACUUUCUAUUUCGCCUUUAAUUUCUCAGUCAACUCUGUUAACUCCUGAUCUUUCUCAUACCCUUUUUUUAUUGGAUUCAUCAAAUCACAUUCAACCACUGAUAAGAAGACCAUAUGUAAUUCUGUUGCACCACCAACUCGAGACACUGCGUCUGCUGCCGC
rnacentral:lncRNA from 1 species